ACGGGAGGCAGCAGUGGGGAAUAUUGCACAAUGGGGGGAACCCUGAUGCAGCAACGCCACGUGUGGGAAGAAGCAUUUCGGUGUGUAAACCACUGUCGUGAGGGAAUAAUGCUUGGUCUCGGCCAAGUUGAAUGUACCUCGAAAGGAAGCACCGGCAAACUUCGUGCCAGCAGCCGCGGUAAUACGAGGGGUGCAAGCGUUGUUUGGAAUCACUGGGCGUAAAGGGAGCGUAGGCGGAGACGCAAGCAGGCUGUACAAUACCGGGGCCCAACCCCGGACCUGCAGACUGGACUGUGGCUCUUGGAUAGUGCAGGGGCAGGCGGAAUUCCUGGUGUAGCGGUGGAAUGCGUAGAGAUCAGGAAGAGCACCGAUGGCGAAGGCAGCCUGCUGGGGACUCAUCGACGCUGAGGCGCGAAAGUGCGGGUAGCAAACAGGAUUAGAUACCCUGGUA
rnacentral:rRNA from 1 species